UGGCGUAAACAAAGGGAAGCGAAACCGCGAGGUCAAGCAAAUCCCAAAAAUAACGUCCCAGUUCGGACUGUAGUCUGCAACCCGACUACACGAAGCCGGAAUCGCUAGUAAUCGCGAAUCAGAAUGUCGCGGUGAAUACGUUCCCGGGUCUUGUACACACCGCCCGUCACACCAUGGGAGUCGGAAAUGCCCGAAGUCAGUGACCCAACCGCAAGGGAGGGAGCUGCCGAAGGCAGGUCCGGUAACUGGGGUGAAGUCGUAACAAGGUAGC
rnacentral:rRNA from 1 species